AAACUUAUGAAAUUUUAAUUCACAUCUUCUGAAUGCAACUCAGAUACUUUUAUUAAGAUAAAGCUU
rnacentral:tRNA from 1 species